rnacentral:rRNA from 1 species
GACGAACGCUGGCGGCGUGCUUAACACAUGCAAGUCGAACGGAAAGGCCCUGCUUUUGUGGGGUGCUCGAGUGGCGAACGGGUGAGUAACACGUGAGUAACCUGCCCUUGACUUUGGGAUAACUUCAGGAAACUGGGGCUAAUACCGGAUAGGAGCUCCUGCUGCAUGGUGGGGGUUGGAAAGUUUUGGCGGUUGGGGAUGGACUCGCGGCUUAUCAGCUUGUUGGUGGGGUAGUGGCUUACCAAGGCUUUGACGGGUAGCCGGCCUGAGAGGGUGACCGGCCACAUUGGGACUGAGAUACGGCCCAGACUCCUACGGGAGGCAGCAGUGGGGAAUAUUGCACAAUGGGCGGAAGCCUGAUGCAGCAACGCCGCGUGCGGGAUGACGGCCUUCGGGUUGUAAACCGCUUUCGCCUGUGACGAAGCGUGAGUGACGGUAAUGGGUAAAGAAGCACCGGCUAACUACGUGCCAGCAGCCGCGGUGAUACGUAGGGUGCGAGCGUUGUCCGGAUUUAUUGGGCGUAAAGGGCUCGUAGGUGGUUGAUCGCGUCGAAAGUGUAAUCUUGGGGCUUAACCCUGAGCGUGCUUUCGAUACGGGUUGACUUGAGGAAGGUAGGGGAGAAUGGAAUUCCUGGUGGAGCGGUGGAAUGCGCAGAUAUCAGGAGGAACACCAGUGGCGAAGGCGGUUCUCUGGGCCUUUCCUGACGCUGAGGAGCGAAAGCGUGGGGAGCGAACAGGCUUAGAUACCCUGGUAGUCCACGCUGUAAACUGUGGGUACUAGGUGUGGGGUCCAUUCCACGGGUUCCGUGCCGUAGCUAACGCUUUAAGUACCCCGCCUGGGGAGUACGGCCGCAAGGCUAAAACUCAAAGGAAUUGACGGGGCCCCGCACAAGCGGCGGAGCAUGCGGAUUAAUUCGAUGCAACGCGUAGAACCUUACCUGGGUUUGACAUGGAUCGGGAGUGCUCAGAGAUGGGUGUGCCUCUUUUGGGGUCGGUUCACAGGUGGUGCAUGGCUGUCGUCAGCUCGUGUCGUGAGAUGUUGGGUUAAGUCCCGCAACGAGCGCAACCCUUGUUCACUGUUGCCAGCACGUUAUGGUGGGGACUCAGUGGAGACCGCCGGGGUCAACUCGGAGGAGGGUGGGGAUGACGUCAAGUCAUCAUGCCCCUUAUGUCCAGGGCUUCACGCAUGCUACAAUGGCUGGUACAGAGAGUGGCGAGCCUGUGAGGGUGAGCGAAUCUCGGAAAGCCGGUCUCAGUUCGGAUUGGGGUCUGCAACUCGACCUCAUGAAGUCGGAGUCGCUAGUAAUCGCAGAUCAGCAACGCUGCGGUGAAAACGUUCCCGGGGCU